rnacentral:rRNA from 1 species
GCCAAAAAGCUAGCUCAAUUAUUUAUAUAAACAAUCAACAUUAAAUAAAUUAUACACGACCCAACAUUAAUUAAUCAAACCAUUUUCCUGCCUUAGUAUGGGCGACAGAAAAGGCUCUAAAAGCAAUAGAACAAGUACCGCAAGGGAAAGCUGAAAAAGAAAUGAAACAACCCAUUUAAGCCCUAAAAAGCAGAGACACACCCUCGUACCUUUUGCAUCAUGAUUUAGCUAGAAUAAGAGAGCAAAGAGAAACUUCAGUCCUCUCCCCCGAACCCAAGUGAGCUACUCCGAGACAGCCUAAAAUAGGGCCAACCCGUCUCUGUUGCAAAAGAGUGGGAAGAUCUCUGAGUAGUGGUGAUAUACCUAUCGAACUUGGUGAUAGCUGGUUGCCUAAGAAAUGGAUAUAAGUUCAGCCUCGUCCUCCUCCACUCACUUUUAUAAUUAUAUAUCACGAGAAAGAGAAAUCCACGAGAGUUAGUCAAAGGGGGUACAGCCCCUUUGAACCAGGACACAACCUGACAAGGAGGUUAACAAUCAUACUCAACAAGAUAUUUUACUUUAGUGGGCCUAAAAGCAGCCAUCUACUUAGAAAGCGUUAAAGCUCAAGCAAACCCAAAAAUCUAUAAUUCUGAUAAAUAAUUUUAUACCCCUACUUAUACUAGGCCAUUCCAUGCCCCCAUGGAAGAGACACUGCUAAAAUGAGUAACAAGAAGGUAGCCCUUCUCCACGUCCACGUUUAAGUUAGAUAGGACCCACCACUAAUAAUUAACGAACCCAACCAAAGAGGGAAAAGUGAUCUAAUAAUAAAACCAAGAAAACCCCACACUAAUCAUCGUUAAUCCUACACCGGAGGACUUUUAGGAAAGAUUAAAAGAAGGGGAAGGAACUCGGCAAACACAAGCCUCGCCUGUUUACCAAAAACAUCGCCUCCUGCAAAAAUCUAUGUAUAGGAGGCCCUGCCUGCCCAGUGACUAAGUUUAACGGCCGCGGUAUUUUGACCGUGCAAAGGUAGCGCAAUCACUUGUUUUUUAAAUAGAGACCUGUAUGAAUGGUGAAACGAGGGCUUAACUGUCUCCCCCCUCCAAUCAGUGAAAUUGAUCUACCCGUGCAGAAGCGGGUAUUUUUCUACAAGACGAGAAGACCCUAUGGAGCUUAAGACAAAUAAUCAUCUGUGUUAAAAACCCCUAAUUAAAGGACCACAACAAAAUCAGCCAUUGAUUAUAGUCUUCGGUUGGGGCGACCACGGAGGAAAAAAAAUCCCCCAUGAGGAAUAAAACAUUCUUUCAAAUCUACGAGGCACACCUCUAAGCCACAGAACUUCUGACCCAUAGAUCCGGCACAAGCCGAUCAACGGACCAAGUUACCCUAGGGAUAACAGCGCAAUCCUCUCCAAGAGUCCAUAUUGACAAGAGGGUUUACGACCUCGAUGUUGGAUCAGGACAUCCUGAUGGUGCAGCCGCUAUUAAGGGUUCGUUUGUUCAACGAUUAAAGUCCUACGUGAUCUGAGUUCAGACCGGAGUAAUCCAGGUCAGUUUCUAUCUGUAAAGCUACUUCUCCUAGUACGAAAGGACCGGAGACACAAGGCCCCUGUCAACACUCACGCCUUACUUCUACUUAAUGAAAUCAACUCAAUUAAUUAAAGAAGAGCAUAAUUUUACCCAAAGACAUUUGGGUC